UGGGGAAUCUUGGACAAUGGGCGCAAGCCUGAUCCAGCCAUGCCGCGUGAGCGAUGAAGGCCUUAGGGUUGUAAAGCUCUUUCACCGGUGAAGAUAAUGACGGUAGCCGGAGAAGAAGCACCGGCUAACUACGUGCCAGCAGCCGCGGUAAUACGUAGGGUGCAAGCGUUGUCCGGAAUUAUUGGGCGUAAAGAGCUCGUAGGCGGUCCGUUGCGUCUGCCGUGAAAACCCGGAGCUCAACUCCGGGCCUGCGGUGGAUACGGGCGGACUAGAGUCCGGUAGGGGAGACUGGAAUUCCUGGUGUAGCGGUGGAAUGCGCAGAUAUCAGGAGGAACACCGGUGGCGAAGGCGGGUCUCUGGGCCGGAACUGACGCUGAGGAGCGAAAGCGU
rnacentral:rRNA from 1 species